rnacentral:rRNA from 1 species
CAGCAGCCACGGUAAUACGUAGGGUGCAAGCGUUAAUCGGAAUUACUGGGCGUAAAGCGUGCACAGGCGGUUUGUUAAGACAGAUGUGAAAUCCCCGGGCUCAACCUGGGAACUGCAUUUGUGACUGGCAGGCUAGAGUAUGGCAGAGGGGGGUGGAAUUCCGCGUGUAGCAGUGAAAUGCGUAGAUAUGCGGAGGAACACCGAUGGCGAAGGCAGCCCCCUGGGCCAAUACUGACGCUCAUGCACGAAAGCGUGGGGAGCAAACAGGAUUAGAUACCCCAGUAGUCCCUGUCUCUUAUAC